rnacentral:rRNA from 1 species
GACGAACGCUGGCGGCGUGCUUAACACAUGCAAGUCGAGCGGAGCGGCGAACGGGUGAAUAACGCGUGAGUAACUGCCCCCCUCUCUGGGAUAACAGUUGGAAACGGCUGCUAAUACCGGAUAGUGGGGGAUGGCUCGCGUCCUAUCAGCUUGGUGGUGGGGUAGUGGCCUACCAAGGCGACGCCGGGUAGCCGGCCUGAGAGGACGACCGGCCCCAUUGCGCUGAGAGACGGCCCAAACUCCUAUGGGAGGCAGCAGUGGGGAAUCGUGCACAAGCGUGCAAACCCUGAUGCAGCAACGCCGGGGGCGGGAUGUCGGCCUUCGGGUUGGAAACCGCUUUCAGCCAUGACGCGGUAGUGGCAGAAGAAGCACCGGCUAACUACGUGCCAGCAGCCGCGGUAAUUC